CUACGGGAUGCACCAGUGGGGAAUAUUGCACAAUGGAGGAAACUCUGAUGCAGCAACGCCGCGUGGAGGAUGACACUUUUCGGAGCGUAAACUCCUUUUAUAUAGGAAGAAGAUGACGGUACUAUAUGAAUAAGCGCCGGCUAACUCCGUGCCAGCAGCCGCGGUAAUACGGAGGGCGCAAGCGUUACUCGGAAUCACUGGGCGUAAAGAGCGUGUAGGCGGAUUAAAAAGUCAGAAGUGGAAUCCUAUAGCUUAACUAUAGAACUGCUUCUGAAACUCUUAAUCUAGAAUAUGGGAGAGGUAGAUGGAAUUUCUGGUGUAGGGGUAAGAUCCGUAGAGAUCAGAAGGAAUACCGAUUGCGAAGGCGAUCUACUAGAACAUUAUUGACGCUGAGACGCGAAAGCGUGGGGAGCAAACAGGAUUAGAUACCCUUGUAGUC
rnacentral:rRNA from 1 species